rfam:Oryza glumipatula chromosome 4, whole genome shotgun sequence.
UUUAAGCGCAGUCAUAAAUUUCGAUGUCAACUUUGAUCGUCCGUCUUAUUUUAAACUAUUUUAUGAUUAAUACUUUUAUUGUUAAUAGAUCAUAAAACAUGAAUAUUACUUUAUGUGUGACUUAAAGUGUCUCAUUUUUUUAAAACAAAUUUAAAUAAUACAAACGAUUAAAAUUGGAUACGAAAACUACUUCAA